AUCCAGCUGACGAGUCCCGGACAGGACGAAAUGCGUAUCCUGUAG
rnacentral:hammerhead_ribozyme from 1 species